GUCCUCGGCGGCGAUCUCGCGCUCCCGCGGCGUCUCCAUUGCCAUUGCGAGCGGAGGCGACGGCGACGGCGACGAUGACGAAGAUUCGCAGGGUCUCGCGCCUCCUGCAGGAGCCUCUCGACCUGCCCGGGAACGCUCGAUACCAGACCGUCCUCGGUGCCCCGCAGUUUCUGUUCGAUCCUCAAAAGAGCCCUUUUGGCGAUCUUGUUAGUCUCCACGGGUGCUGAAGAAGGCCUUCUCCGGCGUGAUCGCCCACGUGAAGAGCGGAUCGUAUAGCAAAACUUGAAGGAGGGUGAUGAUGAUCUGCCUCUGAU